rfam:Hammondia hammondi strain H.H.34 contig03724, whole genome shotgun sequence.
GGUAUUCCUUAUCUGUCUAAUGGUUUGUUUUGGAGCCUGUCUUCCUGUGUUCUGAGGCAAAACACACGAAGACAGGCCCAUCAGUUUAGUUGCCGCUUAAAUGCUUAAC